rnacentral:rRNA from 1 species
UACGGAGGGGGCUAGCGUUGUUCGGAAUUACUGGGCGUAAAGCGCACGUAGGCGGCUUUGUAAGUUAGAGGUGAAAGCCCAGGGCUUAACCCUGGAAUUGCCUUUAAGACUGCAUCGCUCGAAUUGUGGAGAGGUGAGUGGAAUUCCGAGUGUAGAGGUGAAAUUCGAUAGAUAUUCGGAAGAACACCAGUGGCGAAGGCGACUCACUGGACACAUAUUGACGCUGAGGUGCGAAAGCGUGGGAGCAAACAGG